AUUGAACGCUGGCGGCAGGCCUAACACAUGCAAGUCGAGCGGAUGAAGGGAGCUUGCUCCUGGAUUCAGCGGCGGACGGGUGAGUAAGGCCUAGGAAUCUGCCUGGUAGUGGGGGAUAACGUCCGGAAACGGGCGCGAAUACCGCAUACGUCCAGAGGGAGAAAGUGGGGGAUCUUCGGACCUCACGCUAUCAGAUGAGCCUAGGUCGGAUUAGCUAGUUGGUGGGGUAAGGGCCUACCAAGGCGACGAUCCGUAACUGGUCUGAGAGGCUGAUCAGUCACACUGGAACUGAGACACGGUCCAGACUCCUACGGGAGGCAGCAGUGGGGAAUCUUGGACAAUGGGCGAAAGCCUGAUCCAGCAAUGCCGCGUGUGUGAAGAAGGUCUUCGGAUUGUAAAGCUCUUUUAGUUGGGAGGAAGGGCAGUAAGUUUAUACCUUCCUGUUUUGACGUUACCAACAGAGUAAGCCCCGGCUAACUUCGUG
rnacentral:rRNA from 1 species